CAAUUUCAUCUUAUCCACUCUCAUAUAUCUACUCUUCUUAUUUACUUCACUUAUUUAUCUAAUUGCCAUGCAUACUUUCUUAUUUACCCUUAACCCAAUCCCUUGGUGAAAAGAGCCUAUUAUUAAUUACCGGCUUGCUAUCCCUAGCUUCCCCUAGUAACCAAUAAUGCAAUGCGUUCAGAAGCAAAUACAAUUGACCGUCCUACCCCU
rnacentral:lncRNA from 1 species